CCCUUGGAGCUGCAGCAUGCUCUGUGCGUGCAGUCGAGCGCCCCGCAAGGGGAGCGGCAGACGGGUGAGUAACGCGUGGGAACGUACCAUUUGCUACGGAAUAACUCAGGGAAACUUGUGCUAAUACCGUAUGUGCCCGAAAGGGGAAAGAUUUAUCGGCAAAUGAUCGGCCCGCGUUGGAUUAGCUAGUUGGUGGGGUAAAGGCCUACCAAGGCGACGAUCCAUAGCUGGUCUGAGAGGAUGAUCAGCCACACUGGGACUGAGACACGGCCCAGACUCCUACGGGAGGCAGCAGUGGGGAAUAUUGGACAAUGGGCGCAAGCCUGAUCCAGCCAUGCCGCGUGAGUGAUGAAGGCCCUAGGGUUGUAAAGCUCUUUCACCGGUGAAGAUAAUGACGGUAACCGGAGAAGAAGCCCCGGCUAACUUCGUGCCAGCAGCCGCGGUAAUAGAAGGGGGCUAGCGUUGUUCGGAUUUACUGGGCGUAAAGCGCACGUAGGCGGGCUAAUAAGUCAGGGGUGAAAUCCCGGGGCUCAACCCCGGAACUGCCUUUGAUACUGUUAGUCUUGAGUAUGGUAGAGGUGAGUGGAAUUCCGAGUGUAGAGGUGAAAUUCGUAGAUAUUCGGAGGAACACCAGUGGCGAAGGCGGCUCACUGGACCAUUACUGACGCUGAGGU
rnacentral:rRNA from 1 species